AUUGUUUCUUGGCCUUUUGGCUAAGAUCAAGUGUAGAAAUAUUGUUAAAUAAUUACUUGUAAGAUCUCGGAGAAACUAGAGAAGGUAUUUAUUGUACCUGGGAGUUUCCCAUUCCUGGAACUCUCU
ensembl:snRNA U2 U2 spliceosomal RNA